rnacentral:rRNA from 1 species
UACGUAGGGGUGCAACGUUGUCCGGAAUUAUUGGGCGUAAAAGGAGCUCGUAGGCGGUUUGUUGCGUCGGCUGUGAAAUCCCCGAGGCUCAACCUCGGGUCUGCAGUCGGGAUACGAGCAAACUAGAGUGUUUGCAGGGGAGGCUGGGAAUUCCUGGUGUAGCGGUGAAAUGCGCAGAUAUCAGGAGGAACACCGGUGGCGAAGGCGGGUCUCUGGG